rfam:Gossypium raimondii Chr09_contig_676, whole genome shotgun sequence.
UUCUUAUAUAUUCGGGAAAUCCGAUGAAAUUGGAAUGAUACAAAAAGGAUUAGCAUGCGCAAGACACACAAAUUGAGAAAUGAUACAUAUUUUU